AGAGUUUGAUCAUGGCUCAGCGAACGCUGGCGGCAGGCCUAACACAUGCAAGUCGAACGAACUCUUCGGAGUUAGUGGCGGACGGGUGACUAACACGUGGGAACGUGCCUUUAGGUUCGGAAUAACUCAGGGAAACUUGUGCUAAUACCGAAUGUGCCCUUCGGGGGAAAGAUUUAUCGCCUUUAGAGCGGCCCGCGUCUGAUUAGCUAGUUGAUGAGGUAAAGGCUCACCAAGGCGACGAUCAGUAGCUGGUCUGAGAGGAUGAUCAGCCACAUUGGGACUUAGACACGGCCCAAACUCCUACGGGAGGCAGCAGUGGGGAAUCUUGCGCAAUGGGCGAAAGCCUGACGCAGCCAUGCCGCGUGAAUGAUGAAGGUCUUAGGAUUGUAAAAUUCCUUCAGUAGGGACGAUAAUGACGGUACCUACAGAAGAAGCCCCGGCUAACUUCGUGCCAGCAGCCGCGUUAAUACGAAGGGGGCUAGCGUUGCUCGGAAUUACUGGGCGUAAAGGGAGCGUAGGCGGACAUUUAAGUCAGGGGUGAAAUCCCGGGGCUCAACCUCGGAAUUGCCCUUGAUACUGGGUGUCUUGAGUGUGAGAGAGGUAUGUGGAACUCCGAGUGUAGAGGUGAAAUUCGUAGAUAUUCGAAAGAACACCAGUGGCGAAGGCGACAUACUGGCUCAUUACUGACGCUGAGGUUCGAAAGCGUAGGGAGCAAACAGGAUUAGAUACCCUGGUAGUCCACGCCGUAAACGAUGAUUGCUAGUUGUCGGGAUGCAUGCAUUUCGGUGACGCAGCUAA
rnacentral:rRNA from 1 species